AUUCCGGUUGAUCCUGGCGGCGGCCACCGCUAUAGGAAUUCGAUUAAGACAUGCGAGUCGAGAGUCGUAAUGGACUCGGCGGACUGCUCAGUAACACGUGGAUAACGUGCCCUUAAGUGGAGGAUAAUCUCGGGAAAUUGAGGAUAAUACUCCAUAGACUACGAAAUCUGGAAUGAUUCAUAGUUGAAAGUUCCGGCGCUUAAGGAUCGGUCUGCGGCCUAUCAGGUUGUAGUGGGUGUAACGUACCUACUAGCCUAUGACGGGUAUGGGCCUUGAGAGAGGGAGCCCAGAGUUGGAUUCUGAGACACGAAUCCAGGCCCUACGGGGCGCAGCAGUCGCGAAAACUUCACAAUGGGGGCAACCCCGAUGAGGGAAUUCCUAGUGCUAGCUCUUUUUGAGUUAGCUUUUCUUUAGCGUAGAUAACUAAAGGAAUAAGGGCUGGGUAAGACGGGUGCCAGCAGCCGCGGUAA
rnacentral:rRNA from 1 species